rnacentral:lncRNA from 1 species
AAAAAACCCACGGGACCACACGCGAUAAACAAUUCACUAAGAGAAAAGAUUACAAGGUGAUUACCGACUCCACGGACUCUACCUCUCUUAACCUUCUAUGAAUCUCGCGCAAUCCUCCGGGUUGUCCACGCCCUCACGUUCGAAUCUACGAACGCUUCCACUUCGAAUCCACGAAGCUUCAAUCACGCCGAAUCCACGACGCCACUCGAAUCCACGAGCCCACGAUCCGAAUCCAUGAACCGCCUUCGUUCACGCCGAAUCCACGACGCCGUUCAUGAAGAAUAUC